CCUACGGGAGGCAGCAGUGAGGAAUAUUGGUCAAUGGGCGAAAGCCUGAUGGAGCAACGCCGCGUGCAGGAUGAAGGCCUUCGGGUUGUAAACUGCUUUUAUAAGCGAGAAAUAUGAUGGUAACUUAUGAAUAAGGAUCGGCUAACUACGUGCCAUCAGCCGCGGUCAUACGUAGGAUCCGAGCAUUAUCCGGAGUGACUGGGUGUAAAGAGUUGCGUAGGUGGCAUAAUAAGUAGCUAGUGAAAUCUGGUGGCUCAACCAUUCAGACUAUUAGCUAAACUGUUAAGCUCGAGACCGUUAGGGGUAACUGGAAUUUCUAGUGUAGGAGUGAAAUCCGUAGAUAUUAGAAGGAACACCAAUAGCGUAGGCAGGUUGCUGGGACGGUUCUGACACUAAGGCACGAAAGCGUAGGGAGCAAACGGGAUUAGAUACCCUAGUAGUC
rnacentral:rRNA from 1 species